rnacentral:rRNA from 1 species
UAUUGAACGCUGGCGGCAGGCCUAACACAUGCAAGUCGAACGGCAGCACAGAAGAGCUUGCUCUUUGGGUGGCGAGUGGCGGACGGGUGAGUAAUGUCUGGGAAACUGCCCGAUGGAGGGGGAUAACUACUGGAAACGGUAGCUAAUACCGCAUAACGUCGCAAGACCAAAGUGGGGGACCUUCGGGCCUCACACCAUCGGAUGUGCCCAGAUGGGAUUAGCUAGUAGGUGGGGUAAUGGCUCACCUAGGCGACGAUCCCUAGCUGGUCUGAGAGGAUGACCAGCCACACUGGAACUGAGACACGGUCCAGACUCCUACGGGAGGCAGCAGUGGGGAAUAUUGCACAAUGGGCGCAAGCCUGAUGCAGCCAUGCCGCGUGUAUGAAGAAGGCCUUCGGGUUGUAAAGUACUUUCAGCGGGGAGGAAGGCGGUGAGGUUAAUAACCUCGCCGAUUGACGUUACCCGCAGAAGAAGCACCGGCUAACUCCGUGCCAGCAGCCGCGGUAAUACGGAGGGUGCAAGCGUUAAUCGGAAUUACUGGGCGUAAAGCGCACGCAGGCGGUCUGUUAAGUCAGAUGUGAAAUCCCCGGGCUUAACCUGGGAACUGCAUUUGAAACUGGCAGGCUUGAGUCUCGUAGAGGGGGGUAGAAUUCCAGGUGUAGCGGUGAAAUGCGUAGAGAUCUGGAGGAAUACCGGUGGCGAAGGCGGCCCCCUGGACGAAGACUGACGCUCAGGUGCGAAAGCGUGGGGAGCAAACGAGGAUUAGAUACCCUGGUAGUCCACGCCGUAAACGAUGUCGACUUGGGAGGUUGUGCCCUUGAGGCGUGGCUUCCGGAGCUAACGCGUUAAGUCGACCGCCUGGGGAGUACGGCCGCAAGGUUAAAACUCAAAUGAAUUGACGGGGGCCCGCACAAGCGGUGGAGCAUGUGGUUUAAUUCGAUGCAACGCGAAGAACCUUACCUGGCCUUGACAUCCAGAGAACUUAGCAGAGAUGCUUUGGUGCCUUCGGGAACUCUGAGACAGGUGCUGCAUGGCUGUCGUCAGCUCGUGUUGUGAAAUGUUGGGUUAAGUCCCGCAACGAGCGCAACCCUUAUCCUUUGUUGCCAGCGGUUCGGCCGGGAACUCAAAGGAGACUGCCGGUGAUAAACCGGAGGAAGGUGGGGAUGACGUCAAGUCAUCAUGGCCCUUACGGCCAGGGCUACACACGUGCUACAAUGGCGCAUACAAAGAGAAGCGACCUCGCGAGAGCAAGCGGACCUCAUAAAGUGCGUCGUAGUCCGGAUUGGAGUCUGCAACUCGACUCCAUGAAGUCGGAAUCGCUAGUAAUCGUAGAUCAGAAUGCUACGGUGAAUACGUUCCCGGGCCUUGUACACACCGCCCGUCACACCAUGGGAGUGGGUUGCAAAAGAAGUAGGUAGCUUAACCUUCGGGAGGGCGCUUACCACUUUGUGAUUCAUGACUGGGGUGAAGUCGUAACAAGGUAACCGUAGGGGAA